AGCGAACGCUGGCGGCAGGCCUAACACAUGCAAGUCGAACGAGGUCUUCGGACCUAGUGGCGGACGGGUGAGUAACACGUGGGAACGUGCCCUUUGGUACGGAAUAACUCAGGGAAACUUGAGCUAAUACCGUAUGUGCCCUUCGGGGGAAAGAUUUAUCGCCAUUGGAGCGGCCCGCGUCUGAUUAGCUAGUUGGUGAGGUAACGGCUCACCAAGGCGACGAUCAGUAGCUGGUCUGAGAGGAUGACCAGCGACAUUGGGACGGAGACACGGCGCAAACUCCUACGGGAGGCAGCAGUGGGGAAUCUUGCGCAAUGGGCGAAAGUCUGACGCAGCCAUGCCGCGUGGAUGAUGAAGGUCUUAGGAUUUUAAAAUCCUUUCACCGGUGAAGAUAAUGACUGUAGCCGGAGAAGAAGCCCCGGCUAACUUCGUGCCAGCAGCCGCCGUAA
rnacentral:rRNA from 1 species